UGGGGAAUAUUGGACAAUGGGGGCAACCCUGAUCCAGCCAUGCCGCGUGAGUGAUGAAGGCCUUCGGGUUGUAAAGCUCUUUUGGCGGGGACGAUGAUGACGGUACCCGCAGAAUAAGCCCCGGCUAACUUCGUGCCAGCAGCCGCGGUAAGACGAAGGGGGCUAGCGUUGUUCGGAAUUACUGGGCGUAAAGCGAGUGUAGGCGGUUGCCGUAGUCAGGUGUGAAAGCCUUGAGCUCAACUCAAGAAAUGCACUUGAUACUGGGUGACUAGAGGACCGGAGAGGAUAGUGGAAUUCCCAGUGUAGUGGUGAAAUACGUAGAGAUUGGGAAGAACACCAGUGGCGAAGGCGGCUAUCUGGACGGUUACUGACGCUAAGACUUGAAAGCGUGGGGAGCAAACAGGAUUAGAUACCCUGGUAGUCCACGCCGUAAACGAUGGGUGCUAGACGUUGGCGAGCUUGCUCGUCAGUGUCGCAGCUAACGCGUUAAGCACCCCGCCUGGGGAGUACGGCCGCAAGGUUGAAANUCAAAGGAAUUGACGGGGUCAUAGCUGUUUCCU
rnacentral:rRNA from 1 species